GUGUUCUAAUGAUAAAUGCGUUUCUAUCUUCAACGUUCUGAACUUUGCGCCCAGUGACCCUCUUGGCUAACUACGUGCAUUUCGUACUACAAUUAAGGCCGACAACGGCGCAGGAGCACGAUUUGAAGUUUUGUGCAUUAAAUUUAGCUAGUUUUCACAGUCCGAUUAAUUUCCACGAACACUGUGCUUGAUCUCACUCGUUUUUGUGACUGAGUUGUUUCGCUGGUUAUAUCGCUCGACGGUUGAGACGCUGCCGUGUUGUUUUCAUCAAGCUCAAGAACAAUUGACUGCAUCAUCAUUUAUAUUAUUUUUUGGAAUCGUUUUAACUGACUCGAAUGUAUAUUACAACUGUCUCUUGACAUCUAUUCCAUCCACGUGUUUGCUACCUCUGCGUUCUUCUCAUAGAGAUGUAUCGAUUGACGUUUUGUUCCAUUUGAUAGGUGUGUGUGUGUGUGUGUGUGUGUGUGUUAUGGUAACGUCUGGUGUGUGAGGCCUGCGUCAGGAGACCCCACUGCCUUUUUCAGCAUGUCUGAAUCCCAGACCCCAACAUGGCCACGGGGAACCGAGUGUAUGGCCAAGUACAACUUCAAGGGCACCACAGAGCAGGAUUUGCCCUUCAACAAAGGAGAUGUCUUAACUAUCAUCGUUGUCACUAAGGUAAAGUACCUAACUCUCCA